rnacentral:rRNA from 1 species
GGGAGGCAGCAGUGGGGAAUCUUGGACAAUGGGCGCAAGCCUGAUCCAGCCAUGCCGCGUGUGUGAUGAAGGCCUUAGGGUCGUAAAGCACUUUCGCCAGAGAUGAUAAUGACAGUAUCUGGUAAAGAAACCCCGGCUAACUCCGUGCCAGCAGCCGCGGUAAUACGGAGGGGGUUAGCGUUGUUCGGAAUUACUGGGCGUAAAGCGCACGUAGGCGGACUAGUCAGUCAGAGGUGAAAUCCCAGGGCUCAACCCUGGAACUGCCUUUGAUACUGCUAGUCUUGAGUUCGAGAGAGGUGAGUGGAAUUCCGAGUGUAGAGGUGAAAUUNGUAGAUAUUCGGAGGAACACCAGUGGCGAAGGCGGCUCACUGGCUCGAUACUGACGCUGAGGUGCGAAAGUGUGGGGAGCAAACAGGAUUAGAUACCCUGGUAGUCCACACCGUAAACGAUGAAUGCCAGUCGUCGGGUAGUAUACUAUUCGGUGACACACCUAACGGAUUAAGCAUUCCGCCUGGGGAGUAGCGGUCGCAAGAUUAAAACUCAAA